UCCGAGUUGACCCCGGCAGUCUCCUAUGAGUCCCCGCCAUAACGCGCUGGCAACAUAGAACGAGGGUUGCGCUCGUUGCGGGACUUAACCCAACAUCUCACGACACGAGCUGACGACAACCAUGCACCACCUGUGCAGGACCCUUGCGGACCCCGUAUCUCUACGAGAUUUCCCUGCAUGUCAAGCCUUGGUAAGGUUCUUCGCGUUGCGUCGAAUUAAGCCACAUGCUCCGCCGCUUGUGCGGGCCCCCGUCAAUUCCUUUGAGUUUUAGCCUUGCGGCCGUACUCCCCAGGCGGGGCGCUUAAUGCGUUAGCUGCGGCACAGCGGUCGUGGAAAGACCGCCACACCUAGCGCCCAACGUUUACGGCGUGGACUAC
rnacentral:misc_RNA from 1 species